rnacentral:lncRNA from 1 species
UCUAACUUUAUAAUCCCCACCAUGGCAAGCUCUGCUUCAAAAACAAGUCCUAUCACUGGACAUUUCAUAGUCCUAGUGGUAAAAUGAGUGGGCAAGCUUCAUGGAGUAGUAAGAGAGUCUUUGUGACCUUGGGUUUACAAAAAUGCUAAAGCUUAAAGGAGAAUUUCGAACUGCCAAGGGACUGAAAGAUGAGAACAAGAAGCAAGCUCAGACAUUAGUAUUCACAGAUAACCAGGUGGAAUUCAAGUCCAAUAAGCAGUAUCACCUCAGACAACUUCAGCAACUGAAGAAGAAGCUGCUGACCCUGCAGCAGGAGCUGGAGAUCCGCACCCAGGAGCUGCAGGCUUCCUACCGCUCCCUCCUGCAGUACCAGUCCAUCCUGGAGAAGCAGACUUCUGACCUUCUUGUUCUUCACCAUCACUGCAAACUCAAGGAAGAUGAGGUCAUUCUCUACGAGGAGGAGAUGGGAAGUCACAGUAAGAACACCGGGGAGAAGCUCCAUCUGGCCCAAGAGCAGCUUGCCUUGGCAGGGGACAAGAUCGUCUCCCUAGAACGGAGCCUAAACCUCUACAGGGACAAGUACCAGACUUCCCUGAGCAACAUCGAGCUGCUGGAGUGCCAAGUGAAGAUGCUGGAGGAGGAACUUAGCGGACUCAUUUGUCAGGACCCUGAGAACAAAGGUGACCACUCGAAGGUUCGCAUCUACACUUCUCCAUGCAUGAUUCAAGAACAUCAGGAGACCCUGAAGCGACUGUCUGAAGUUUGGCAAAAGGUUUCUGAACAGGACGACCUAAUCCAGGAGCUUCGGAACAAACUGGCCUGCAGUAAUUCUUUGGUUCUGGAACGUGAGGAGGCUUUGAUAAAAUUACGAGCAGACUUUGCUUCCUACACGGCCACCCACAGGCAUCCCCCUACCUCCUCAGAAGACUGUGAAGACAUCACAAAGAUCCUAAAGUACCUGCAAGAACAGAAAGACAGCCAGUGCCUGCAUGUGGAGGAGUACCAGAACCUCGUGAAGGACCUGCGCUUGGAGCUGGAAGCCGUGUCAGAGCAGAAGAAAAAGAUCAUGAAGGACAUGAUGAAGCUGGAGCUAGACCUCCACGGGCUGCGGGAAGAGACGUCAUGUGUCAUCGAGAAGAAGGACAAGGAGACUGUCUUCCUGCAGUACCGGCUGCAAGAUCUGCAGCAACAGUACACAGAGUCACAGAAGCUGUCCCUAAAGAAGGACAAGUUGCUCCAAGACAAGGACGAGAGGCUGAAUGAGCUGGAGAAGAAACUGACACAGGUGCAGUGUCUCUUUUUGGAGAAAGAAACGGAGCUGGAGAAGCUGCAGUCUACGACAAAAGAACUGGAUGCAAACCUCCAGGAAGUGAGGCAGAGCACAUCCAAAAUAGACAACGAGGGCCUUCGGUCUGAGAUCCAGAAGCUGAAGGAGAGUCUUGAGGAGGCCAGGGAGCAGCUGAGAGUGUCAGAUCAGAAUCUAAGCCAGUGUAAGGAUGAGGCGCACCUAUCUGCAAAUAACCUAGAGGACGCUCAUCGGAAACUCGAGAACUGCCUUCUUCAGGACAAGCGGAAGGACGACGUCAUUAAGGAUCUGCAGAGCCAGCUGCAGAAGCUACAGAAGGAGUCUUCGGAAACUGAAGAGGAACGAAAAACUAUAGACAACAGUUACUGGAGCUGAGCUCAGAACUCAAUGAAGGCCAGAGACGGCUCUCGAGCGCAGAGAAGGAAAAGUCGCUGCUUCAGAAGACACUGGAUGAAGAGGAGAAGAAAAUCGACGAGCUGCUUCAUGGCGCCAAGGUUUCUGAGCAAAAGCAAAGGGAGCUAACGAACUCCCUAAGCAAGCUACAAGACGAACUUGCAGAAACAAAAAGGCUCUUGGAGGAGAAGCGAGAGCAACUGAGGAAGAGCAAAGAUCAGGAAAAGGCACUGGAGGAAGAGAUUGAGGCCUUGCGACAGGAAUCGAAAAAGAAAGAGAAGAUGGCAAAAGAGCAGUUGAGGAAACUGGAAGAGGAGAAGGAGAACCUCCAGGCGGAAUUGAGCUCCUGCUCUUCACAACUGGACUCCUCUAUCAACAAAUACAAUAACUCUCAGAAAGUCAUCCAAGAGCUCAACACGGAGAUAGCCCGCCAGAAAGACUCCAUCAUGAUUCUGCAGACACAGCUGGAUUCGGCCAUACAGAAAGAGAAGAACUGCUUCCAGAACAUGGUCAGUAAAGAAACUUACGAGGAACUUCUGCGGAAGUCAGGCACCUGCCAAGACGACCUGACACAGGCCCUGGAGAAGCUCACACAGGCAACCUCCGAGACAAAGAGCCUGCAGCGCAACUUGCAACAGACCCAGGAGAGGAAAGCUCAGCUGGAAGAUGAAAUCAUGGCUUAUGAGGAAAGGAUGAAAAAGCUCAAUAUGGAAUUAAAAAAACUGCAGGGCUUCCAACAGCAGAGUGAGCUAGAGGUGCACAACUUUGACAAGAAACUGGAGGAGAUGGGCAACCAGGUGUUGCAGUGGCAGAGGCAGCACCAAAGUGACCUUAAGAUGCUGGCAGCUAAAGAGACACAGCUCCGGGAAUUCCAAGAGGAAAUGACUGCCCUGAAAGAGAACCUCCUUGCAGAUGAGAAGGAGCCGAGCCUUAUGCCUUCAAAGCCAGCACCCAAAGAGAACUAUAGGCACCACCGGGAGAAUGACCAGAUUAUGUGCAAUGUGGAACAGUGGGCAAAGGAGCAGAAGCUUGCCAAUGAGAAACUGGGAAACAAGCUGCGAGAACAGGUUAAAUACAUUGCCAAGCUGACUGGUGAAAAGGACCACCUCCACAAUGUGAUGGUCCAUCUGCAGCAGGAGAACAAGAAGCUGAAGAACGAGAUUGAAGAGAAGAAGCUAAAGGCUGGGAACCCGAGGAUCUGUGCCAAGGUCCUAGGCCCGUGCAAACUGGAGCCGUCCCAGAAGGGAAAGCUGUGCGGUGCACUGGGCUGGAGAGGAGUAUGCCAGGACCCACUGCCGAAAAUGGACCUCACCAAGUACACCGGGGUGCCUCACUGCUCAGGAUCCUCCUAUUGCUAGACUUGGCUCUUCACCCUAAGCGUCUCUUCUACACGUAUACAGAGGACCGUGAGUUCCCGCCCCUCUUUCUUGACCGGAAUCAGCUCCUACAGUCGUCCGUCAAGGCCCCUGCCUCGUUUGCACCAUGCUCAUGCAUUAUUGUUUUGCCUACUUCCUGAAGUGGAGUUGUGGUACCUCACUCCCCCCAGACUCUGGGCCCAGACUCUGAAAUAAAGAUACAAACAACACAGCCUCCACCAG